AAUAAUUUAUUUGAUGGUUUCUUACUACAUGGAUAACUGUAGUAAUUCUAGAGCUAAUACAUGCGUAAAAUCCCGACUCUCGCGGGGAGGGAUGUAUUUAUUAGAUAAAAAACCAAUGCGGCCUUUGGCCGGUUUUGUGGUGAAUCAUAGUAACUUUUCGAAUCGCAUGGCUUCACGCCGGCGAUAGUUCAUUCAAAUUUCUGCCCUAUCAGCUUUCGACGGUAGUGUAGUGGACUACCGUGGCGUUAACGGGUAACGGAGAAUUAGGGUUCGAUUCCGGAGAGGGAGCCUGAGAAACGGCUACCACA
rnacentral:rRNA from 1 species